CAGAAGAUAGUUUAAUUUAGAAUCCUGGCUUUGGGAGCCAGGGGUGGGAGUUAAAAUCUCCUUUUUCUGG
rnacentral:tRNA from 1 species